UAAUGUUUUUGAAUUGUACACUCUAUAAUUUUUUUUAGGUAAUAAACAGGUAGGUGUCCGCCAAACCCCCCGCCUAGGCACAGGCGAUUUUUGCAAAAAAAAAAAAAAAAGACUGUGCCAGCAACCGCGGUAAUUCCAGCUCCAAUAGCGUAUAUUUAAGUUGUUGCAGUUAAAAAGCUCGUAGUUGGACCUUGGGUUGGGCCGGCCGGUCCGCCUCUGGUGUGCACCGGUCGUCUCGUCCCUUCUGCCGGCGAUGCGCUCUUGGUCUUAACUGGUCGCGUCGUGCCUCCGGCGCUGUUACUUUGAAGAAAUUAGAGUGCUCAAAGCAAGCCUACGCUCUGUAUACAUUAGCAUGGGAUAACAUUAUAGGAUUUCGGUCCUAUUAUGUUGGCCUUCGGGAUCGGAGUAAUGAUUAACAGGGACAGUCGGGGGCACUCGGAUUUCAGCG